rnacentral:rRNA from 1 species
UGUUCCUACGGGACGCAGCAGUGGGGAAUAUUGGGCAAUGGGCGCAAGCCUGACCCAGCAACGCCGCGUGAAGGAAGAAGGCUUUCGGGUUGUAAACUUCUUUUCUCAGGGACGAAGCAAGUGGCGGUACCUGAGGAAUAAGCCACGGCUAACUACGUGCCAGCAGCCGCGGUAAUACGUAGGUGGCGAGCGUUAUCCGGAUUUACUGGGUGUAAAGGGCGUGUAGGCGGGAAUGCAAGUCAGAUGUGAAAAAUAUGGGCUCAACCCAUAGCCUGCAUUUGAAACUGUAUUUCUUGAGUGCUGGG